GGAGGCCCCUGUGUACCUGAGGCUUUUGAAGUUCUAAUAUUUCUCACAACAGCAUUAAAACAGUUUAAGCCAGCUGAACAGCAAAUGGAGAGCACCCUUCAUCUCGAGCCACGAAGGUAAUGUCAAAACAUGACGGAGUUUUCCAAAACUCGGUGUGAUCCCGUGCUGUGUGCCGGGGGGGAGCCUGGCAAGCUGCUGCAGGCUGCACAUACCAGCAGAUGGAGCUCAAGGAUCCCAAUUACUGCGGAGACUGUAAAAUGAUUGUUGAAGAUGCAAGUCAAAUUUUUUCCCUUUUCACGUGUUGCUAAUUGUUGCACUCUUUUAUACCAUUUUUUUUUUUCCCCGUGAAGGAAGCUGCAUGCAGAAAUUACUAAAAGUGGAGCACUUCACAAGAUCUGAGAAGUCGGGCUGUGUGAAGUUGCAGGCAAGCUCUUACUGCUGUGUUCCUCUGUCCAAAUGAUGCCUCCAGAAUCUCACUUGUGGCAGUGACACUGCGGCUCUUCAUGUCACACCGUCACUAUUAUGGCAAUUACUUAGGGGUGCUGGCGCUUUAUAAGCUUAUGAUUAUGCUCUGUACUGUGAAGGAUGCAAAAAUUCCUGUGCGUCUUGUGUAUGGUUUUGUUUCAGUGACAUGCGACUGUAUGAUGAACUGCAAGGUUUUUCAUCUCUUGUAAUUGUUUCCUCCGGUGCUGCUAAUGUUAGUGGUGGUGCCUUAUCUACUGCAUACGUAACACCAUACCUAUUCAAGACAAAAAAACUGUUUUCUGUGGGCCCUGAGGAGAGAAGCAGGUAUCACAUGAUAAAUAUUUAGAUAAAUAGAAAGGAUAUCUAAAGCCAUACCUAAAGCAUUCCCGUGAACUUCCCUUUAGUACAGACUUACACUGGAUCUGUUCAAAGCACAGCUGAGUAGCAUAGAGUGAGAGCUUUCUAAAUUCCCUUUUCACAUAAAGAAGUUUAGAUGUCACAUGUCAAAUGUAAUCUGACCUCAGGGGUUUCAACCUAGUCCUUAAUAGGCAUUUCUCACCCUUGAAAAAACAGCUUGCUUUUGAAACAAUGCCUCUUUUCAAGAACUUUAGCUCACUAUUAUGGCAUGAAGGUCAAGGCUGCGUUGUUCUGACUGAGAUGAGCGCAGCGGCUUUCCCAGUGGGCAGUGAAACAUGUCACUCUUGUGCUUAACAUUUUGAACUAAAAAGAUGAAAUGCAGCAUGAGAAGGUGUCAUUUUCUGUCUGAGGCUUUGAUGCGUUUUGUCUUUUAGCCUCACUAUUGUUGGGUUGGGCUGAUAUUGAAUGCUUACUCUCAUACGAUGCCCUUAUUUGACAGGACUACUUGCUUCUGCUGGUCUUAAGUUUCCUGGCAAGGUACAUAGACAAAUUCAACUUGAACUUUUCAAUAGAAAAAACACAGAGACAGGCUAUCAAAUGGAACAAACAAAUGAUGGACCUGUAUGCGAAUAAGCCAGGUCAGCCCAACACAGACACAAUGCAGGUGAAGUGUGGCACAGGCAGGUUGGGAGCAACCACCAGAACAGCUGGAAAAGGUUAUAUUAAAACCUCUCUGAUCUGAAUAGAGGGAUUACUACAGGUUAUAAAAAGAGUCUGCACAUUGUAAGCGUGCAAUUGCCUCAGAAGAGCAAUCCACCUCUAAUUGACCCAAAAAGGCAGUUGGCCGGUCAGACAGCUGGCCGAGGACAAUGGGGCAAACUGCCUGGAAAGCAGACCUGCCUAGGAUUAGGUCACGUAUUUUUCUCACCCGCCCUGUGCAGAGAAGUCCUGCCCAUAUCCCAGGUGACUGCUGGGCGGCUGCUGGAGCUGCCAUUCACCUGCUUCCCUAGGAAUGGUGAGCACGCCUGAAAUAAUGCACUUAUUCGGCAACGGUGGGUCAGGACAUAAAUCUACAAUGCAGAUAGGUAUCUUAGAGGAGUCGGAGUUGCUCUUGAUUCACAAGGCACAGGGGUGAAAUGUGAAAUUUUUUGUCUGUAGCUGAUGUGUUACACAUGAACACUUCCACUGGAAGAAGACUGCCACGACAUAUCUAAGUCACUGUCACCUCAGGCCCUGCUUGCUGUGAUGCAUUUUUUUUCUCAGACUGAAUCUGAAUUCAUCUGGACAGGCUGCCUGAAAGAAUGAGUGAGGUGGGUUAGGUAACGGGGCUCUUC